rnacentral:misc_RNA from 1 species
CCGAGUUUACAACUCCCAAACCCCUGUGAACAUACCUAUAUGUUGCCUCGGCGGAUCAGCCCGCGCCCCGUAAAACGGGACGGCCCGCCGCAGGAUCCACAAACUCUGUUUUUAUUGUAACUUCUGAGUAACAAAACAAAUAAGUCA